rnacentral:rRNA from 1 species
UACGUAGGGUGCAAGCGUUGUCCGGAAUUAUUGGGCGUAAAGAGCUUGUAGGCGGUUUGUCGCGUCCGCUGUGAAAUUUCGGGGCUCAACCCCGAACUUGCAGUGGGUACGGGCAGACUAGAGUGUGGUAGGGGAGACUGGAAUUCCUGGUGUAGCGGUGAAAUGCGCAGAUAUCAGGAGGAACACCGAUGGCGAAGGCAGGUCGCUGGGCCACUACUGACGCUGAGAAGCGAAAGCAUGGGGAGCGAACAGG